rnacentral:rRNA from 2 species
UACGGAGGGAGCUAGCGUUGUUCGGAAAUACUGGGCGUAAAGCGCACGUAGGCGGCGCCGCAAGUCAGGGGUGAAAUCCCGGGGCUCAACCCCGGAACUGCCCUUGAAACUGCGGUGCUAGAAUCUUGGAGAGGCGAGUGGAAUUCCGAGUGUAGAGGUGAAAUUCGUAGAUAUUCGGAAGAACACCAGUGGCGAAGGCGACUCGCUGGACAAGUAUUGACGCUGAGGUGCGAAAGCGUGGGGAGCAAACAGG